CGGCCUAUCAGCUUGUUGGUGGGGUGAUGGCCUACCAAGGCUUUGACGGGUAGCCGGCCUGAGAGGGUGACCGGUCACAUUGGGACUGAGAUACGGCCCAGACUCCUACGGGAGGCAGCAGUGGGGAAUAUUGCACAAUGGGCGCAAGCCUGAUGCAGCGACGCCGCGUGAGGGAUGGAGGCCUUCGGGUUGUGAACCUCUUUCGCUCAUGGUCAAGCCGCAACAAUGGUUGUGGUGAGGGUAGUGGGUAAAGAAGCGCCGGCUAACUACGUGCCAGCAGCCGCGGUAAUACGUAGGGCGCGAGCGUUGUCCGGAAUUAUUGGGCGUAAAGGGCUUGUAGGCGGUUGGUCGCGUCUGCCGUGAAAUCCUCUGGCUUAACUGGGGGCGUGCGGUGGGUACGGGCUGACUUGAGUGCGGUAGGGGAGACUGGAACUCCUGGUGUAGCGGUGGAAUGCGCAGAUAUCAGGAAGAACACCGGUGGCGAAGGCGGGUCUCUGGGCCGUUACUGACGCUGAGGAGCGAAAGCGUGGGGAGCGAACAGGAUUAGAUACCCUGGUAGUCCACGCUGUAAACGUUGGGCACUAGGUGUGGGGGCCACCCGUGGUUUCUGCGCCGUAGCUAACGCUUUAAGUGCCCCGCCUGGGGAGUACG
rnacentral:rRNA from 1 species